GGAGGAAAGCAGGGGAUCGCAAGACCUCGCGCUCUUGGAGCGGCCGAUGUCGGAUUAGCUAGUUGGUGAGGUAAAAGCUCACCAAGGCGACGAUCCGUAGCAGGUCUGAGAGGAUGAUCUGCCACACUGGGACUGAGACACGGCCCAGACCCCUACGGGAGGCAGCAGUGGGGAAUUUUGGACAAUGGGGGCAACCCUGAUCCAGCCAUGCCGCGUGAGUGAAGAAGGCCUUCGGGUUGUAAAGCUCUUUCGGCGGGGAAGAAAUGGCAACGGCUAAUAUCCGUUGUUGAUGACGGUACCCGCAUAAGAAGCACCGGCUAACUACGUGCCAGCAGCCGCGGUAAUACGUAGGGUGCGAGCGUUAAUCGGAAUUACUGGGCGUAAAGCGUGCGCAGGCGGUUUCGUAAGACAGACGUGAAAUCCCCGGGCUCAACCUGGGAACUGCGUUUGAAACUACAAAGCUAG
rnacentral:rRNA from 1 species